GAUGAACGCUGACGGCGUGCCUAAUACAUGCAAGUCGAGCGAACGGACGAGAAGCUUGCUUCUCUGAUGUUAGCGGCGGACGGGUGAGUAACACGUGGAUAACCUACCUAUAAGACUGGGAUAACUUCGGGAAACCGGAGCUAAUACCGGAUAAUAUUUUGAACCGCAUGGUUCAAAAGUGAAAGACGGUCUUGCUGUCACUUAUAGAUGGAUCCGCGCUGCAUUGGCUAGUUGGUAAGGUAACGGCUUACCAAGGCAACGAUGCAUAGCCGACCUGAGAGGGUGAUCGGCCACACUGGAACUGAGACACGGUCCAGACUCCUACGGGAGGCAGCAGUAGGGAAUCUUCCGCAAUGGGCGAAAGCCUGACGGAGCAACGCCGCGUGAGUGAUGAAGGUCUUCGGAUCGUAAAACUCUGUUAUUAGGGAAGAACAUAUGUGUAAGUAACUGUGCACAUCUUGACGGUACCUAAUCAGAAAGCCACGGCUAACUACGUG
rnacentral:rRNA from 1 species